UGGGGAAUAUUGCACAAUGGGCGCAAGCCUGAUGCAGUCAUGCCGCGUGUAUGAAGAAGGCCUUCGGGUUGUAAAGUACUUUCAGCGGGGAGGAAGGGAGUAAAGUUAAUACCUUUGCUCAUUGACGUUACCCGCAGAAGAAGCACCGGCUAACUCCGUGCCAGCAGCCGCGGUAAUACGGAGGGUACAAGCGUUAAUCGGAAUUACUGGGCGUAAAGCGCACGCAGGCGGUUUGUUAAGUCAGAUGUGAAAUCCCCGGGCUCAACCUGGGAACUGCAUCUGAUACUGGCAAGCUUGAGUCUCGUAGAGGGGGGUAGAAUUCCAGGUGUAGCGGUGAAAUGCGUAGAGAUCUGGAGGAAUACCGGUGGCGAAGGCGGCCCCCUGGACGAAGACUGACGCUCAGGUGCGAAAGCGUGGGGAGCAAACAGG
rnacentral:rRNA from 1 species